GUUGCAACACCGGUUUCCAUACGAUCACAGAAGUUAAGAAACGUCGGGGCUGGUCAUUACCUAGAUGGGUAACCGCUUGGAAAUAGCCG